GUGGUGGUGGGGGUGCACUUUGACAGAUUACCAGGACAGGGACUGUUUACAUUUAACAAUAACAGCUCCAUGGCUGAACUCAUAGCAGCCCUGUGUUCCCUGAGCUCCUGCAGUCCGCUCAGACUUCGGCGCUCCUGUCGGCUCGGUCGUUUUGCCGGAGGAGCCGUGACUCAUCGUCUCGGUCACCAAGGAGCGACUAAACAUUGUCCAGCUGGCAAUCGUGACGUUUCAACAUUCGCUCACGCUUGCGGUGAAUGAACUAAGCGAAGAAGUGGAUAUCAGAUGCAUAUUUUUUUUGGAUUUACAUCAACCUCUUAAUGAAGCGUGUCACGAUGAUCUCCAAAGCGGCGGAUAUUUUCACCCGGCCCGCAGUUGGAUCUCGAUUUAACUCUGACCUUAACCCAAAGGGGAACCGCAUCAUCCCCUUGGGGAUUUUUGAUGAUGCCCCCUUAUAUUUAUGCCAUUCUCCUUUAACUGGGGUGCCUAUUUGUGCCAGUUCUGAGGUCAUAACCUAAACUACUACUGCUUCAACCAUCAGGUUGUCUGGUGUCUCUGCUCCCCUCACCCUGUAAACCCAGCUGACCCAAAUGAAAAUAUAAAUAACGGUGACUUUCUCCACACCGGGUGGUAAUCAUGCCUAAAUAGCAACAAUUUCUAGGACAGUGGGAUGGACAUCUGAUGCAUGGCUGUGCAGAAGCCAGGACAUUUUAGGUCUGAAUGCUUUCUCCCACAGGAGGCUGAGGCUUUAUCCUCCAUUUGCAGCUGUCUUCAGGCAUUCAAAGAGAACUGCUCUGGUUCAGUACAGCAAUGCAUCAGAACUGUCAGUGUAUGAAAGAAAGAUCUAGCCUAUCGCUGCGAGUUUUAAUGGAGGUUUGCAUCCAUGUUUUGUUGCAUCUUCAGUUCAGACACACAUGGAAACAUUACUCACACUAACCCUUCAGCUUCUUCCCAUAUUACUCCACACAAGCUGCUGCAGCUGUCAGAAAUGUAAAACGCUUCCCUUCCUGUGUGACAGAGGAUGAAUGUUGCCAGAGAAAAGUUUGCCCAUAAACCAGGUGGGUAGAAUAGCUAAUUUGUUGCCUUUCCUGAGCAGUUUUGAUGAACAGAUGUUCUUUUUUUUUUUUGGUUCUCUGCUCCUUGCUAGAACGUCAUGUCUCAUGUCCCAGUCCUCAUUCAUCCGAUUGGAAACCGAUCGAACCAGUGAAACUAGUGGAGCUGCUAGUUCACUGGAAGCAGCCCUGUGACUCCACCCUCCGCUACGCCUGGACUCUCAGCACAUGUCCUCUAAAAUUUCCCAUUACUUGUAAAACCAGAAAAUCAGAGAAGCCUGCCUCUCAAAUAGUCUGUUGUG